UUAUAGAUAUAUCUAUAAACUUAUGAAUCUGAUCUGAUUUAGUGCAUAGUGACCUGCUUCAAAACAGAGGCUUUGCAAGUUUUAGUGUGGGUAAUUGUCUGCUUGAUACACAGUUACAUUGUCAACUUAGGCCAUUUUAACUGAUAGUCUUGUGUGUUGUAUGCUUACAGGAAAAGUUUACAGGGAUGUAGUGCUUUCUAUGUUGCUCCUGAAGUAUCUGGAGUGCAGGGAUUAUUCAAUACAUCUUGCUUUGUGGUGGGUCAGCAUGCUUUCCGAUGAAGCAUAGAACAAGGAACAAGCUUAAGAAGCUAGCUCUAAAGCAAGGUUACUGCAGAGAGUCUAUCAGAAGAGGAAAUUAAAGGGUCUUAAAACCAUAUUUGCUAAUAUGGAUACCGACAAAAGUUGAACAAUAACUUAGAAGAACUGAACACCGGACUGGUUCUAAGCUCUCUGAAAAAUAACUUUUUUCUGCCAUUUCUUUUCAUGGUUCCAUUCUUCGAUAGUCGUCUUAAAAAUGAUUGAGAAGCCUUUUUAUGUUUUUAGGCUUAUCUCAGGGACGUUGCAUAGAUACAGACAGGAUCACGAUGAGCACUUAUUCAAAGCCUUCCAAUACCUAGACAAAGACAACAGCGGGUAAGUUCUUUCAAGUGGAACUGAGAAAAUAUAUAACAAGUCGAUACAGAUGAUGCAAGUUUUCAAAAAUAUGAAGAGAUCAUGAGAAGUGGUACAACACAGCCAGAACAAGGGAAAACUUCUUCCAGUCUACAGAUUUUAAUCGAAA